AUGAACGCUGGCGGCGUGCUUAACACAUGCAAGUCGAACGAUGAAGCCCAGCUUGCUGGGUGGAUUAGUGGCGAACGGGUGAGUAACACGUGAGUAACCUGCCCUUGACUCUGGAAUAAGCCUGGGAAACUGGGUCUAAUACUGGAUAUGACUUCUCAUCGCAUGGUGGGGGGUGGAAAGAUUUAUUGGUCUUGGAUGGACUCGCGGCCUAUCAGCUUGUUGGUGAGGUAAUGGCUCACCAAGGCGACGACGGGUAGCCGGCCUGAGAGGGUGACCGGCCACACUGGGACUGAGACACGGCCCAGACUCCUACGGGAGGCAGCAGUGGGGAAUAUUGCACAAUGGGCGCAAGCCUGAUGCAGCGACGCCGCGUGAGGGAUGACGGCCUUCGGGUUGUAAACCUCUUUCAGUAGGGAAGAAGCGAGAGUGACGGCACCUGCAGAAGAAGCGCCGGCUAACUACGUG
rnacentral:rRNA from 1 species